rnacentral:misc_RNA from 1 species
CAGGGAGACAACAAAAUGUUUAAUAUUAUUAUUUUGUCACCUUAGGUCGAUCGGUAUCUCACGUUCUUGAUUUGUUAAGAAUUUCAUUUCCUAAGUUUUUCUAGGUCACACCCAUUAUUUUUCCUGGGCCAUUAGCUCAGGUGGUUAGAGCGCCUGCUUUGCAAGCAGGAUGUCAGCGGUUCGAGUCCGCUUACCUCCACUGAUUACCACCUCUUCCAUAAUUGAUAGAAGGGAAAUUUUUGCGUUGUGAUCCAAUUCUGAACGAAUCUAGCUUCCUAAUAAGCAUAUUAAGAUGCUGGACUCAUUGAAUUAAUUUUCAUUGUUUUCAGAGAACCUUGACAACUGCAUAGAUUAUUUUUAAAGACAAUAAGCAUCUUUAAUGAUGCAGAUUUAUUAUUUGUGCUAAUGCAUCAAAUAACAAUUCUAUUAAGCUGAUGCUUCAAAUUUUGAAGUUAUU